AUUACAUGGUACCUCAUAAAUAUGCAUAAUUUUAUGUUAUGCAUCAGUUUUAAAAAUUAAAUAAGAAGCUGUGCAUGUAGCUCAGUGGUAGAGAACUUGCCUAGCAUGCAAGAGGCCCUGGGUUCCAUCCCCCACACCACAGAAAGGGAAAAUAGGGGCUGGGGCUGGGGCUCAAUGGUAGCGCAUUUGCCUGGCAUGUGUGAGGCGCUGGGUUCGGGUCUAUGCACGGCAUAUAAAUAAAUAAAAUAAAGGUCUAUCAACAACUAAAAAACAUUUUUUUAAAGGAAAAUAGGUCAGAAAAUUUAAAAAGAUAUUUCCUAGAACUAAAGCAAGCACAGAGACAUGGCACCUCCCUGCCACUGUGACCCGUGCAGCCUUGGUGAAUUUGAUUGACAACACCUACUAACAGGUGAGCAUGCACUGUAACACCACACCCAGAUUCCCCUCACUGGCUGGAGCAGCUGAGAGUGCACCUUAACACUCUUCCAGGGGAUGCACAGGGUGGAGGCCAUGCCUUGAGUCGCCCUGGUCUCCAGUGGUGGUUGUCACCUUUGGCUGCUCAUUGGAAUCACCUGGGAAGGUUUAAAUGCAUUCCUGCCAGAUCCACUUUAAAAAAUUCUGGUUUAAUUUUGGAAGCAGUCUUAACAUGAGGAAUUUUAAAGUUCACCAGAUAACAGCAGGGUUCUGGGAGAGCUGAGGGCCAUUUCUCUGCUCUUCUACAUAGGCUCCAGGAAACAUGAAUAGAAUGUUUCGAUGAAAACUGGGAACAGUCUACCACUGACAGAAGAAUAGAUGCAGAAAUACAUGUAAAGAGUGGAAUAUUAUGCACUGGUGAAAAUAAGUCCAUACUUAAGAUAGAUGAAUCUCACAAACAAGGUGAGCAAUAAAAGAUGGCUAGAAAAUAAAUUCAUUACGAUGUAGAGACUUUAAAACAUGCA
rnacentral:lncRNA from 1 species